UACGAAGGGGGCUAGCGUUGCUCGGAAUCACUGGGCGUAAAGGGCGCGUAGGCGGCGUUUUAAGUCGGGGGUGAAAGCCUGUGGCUCAACCACAGAAUGGCCUUCGAUACUGGGACGCUUGAGUAUGGUAGAGGUUGGUGGAACUGCGAGUGUAGAGGUGAAAUUCGUAGAUAUUCGCAAGAACACCAGUGGCGAAGGCGGCUCACUGGCCCGGUACUGACGCUGAGGCUCGAAAGCGUGGGGAGCAAACAGG
rnacentral:rRNA from 1 species